GCGGGAAUGGCGGAAACGGUAGACGCGCUGGAUUUAAAACCCGGUGCCGCAAGGCGUGGGAGUUCGAUGCUCCCUUCCCGCACCA
rnacentral:tRNA from 1 species